GGAAAAACCGUAAGCUGCGACUCGCUGCUGCUCCAAGAAGGAACUGGUGCUGCUGGGUGAAGGGGACUGCUGGAGGGAGACUCACAGGAAUUGCAAGCAUCGAGGCAAACAGGAAGGAACAAGCCCUUUCUCCUCCUCCAGGCUCGAGGUCCACCCGUACCUCUGGUUGGCGGAGCCUCGCAGAGAGGCAGAGCGGAAAUGCGGUUUGCAGAGUCUUUGCUCCAGCAUCACAGAGCAGAGUAUCAAAGCGGGGGUUUGGAACUGAGAGACAAUAGCAAGCAUGUCUGGGGGCAUUUGCUCUUGUUUGUGUUAAUAUUUCAAUUUCCUCCCAUCCUUCUUUGCCUAAUUUUAUUUUUUGAGUAUAUAGAACAUUAAUGUGCUUCCCAAGAAUCAAAAAUAUACUGAAAGGUAUAUCCAGAGAAGCGUGCUCACUCCCUAUUGCUUAUUUUGCCACCUAGUUAAAGGAUUGGGAAACCAUUUUGAAAACUCUGGACUGGAUGAUUUUCAAGGGCGGAGAAUCCAUGCUCUCAAGCACAGACCCUUGGGCACGUGGAGGGCUCUGGGCAUAGGGGCAGGAGACAAUUGCGUUAAUAACCUGUGCAGAGAGCCCGAGGGGAUCAGUGCUAACUUGACUGCGUUCCUUUGGCUCUGAUCCUGGCAGAGAACUCCUGUCCUUCUAAGCGGGGAGGUGAGCCUCUCGGCAUGCUGGGACACUUGUCUGGACAACUCCCAGGAGGAGGGAACAAUCUGGACAAACCCUGAAGCAGCCGGCUGUCGUGGAUUCUGCCUGACUCAUCAGCUCAAAGGAAUGCCCAGGAGGCAGGGUGAUGUGGGGAACAGGAAACAGGCCCAAGCCCAACACAGCCACCAGCUAUGUGACCUGCUCAGGACAGUUCUCCUUUCUGGGCCUCAGUUUCCAUCUCUGCUACAGGAAUGUCUAAGGACCUUCCCACUCAGAACCCUGAUGGCUCUGAGAGGAAACAGAAUUGCCUUUUCUUUCGGAGGCUGAGGCAGGAAGGGGACCAUCUCCAACAGGUGGCCUCAUUCUGCUGGGCCAGUGACCAAGUGUGUUCUAGAAAUCUUUAGCUGUGAGAAGCCAGACUGUGAACUCCCCAAGAGCAGGGAUGAGGGCCUCCCACCUUUGGGUUCCUGCCCAGGUGUGGAGCCUGGCACCUAAAUCUUUGUCUAACUGAACAAAGGGACUCUAAAAGGACUUUUCCUUUUAGCUCUGACAUCCCAGAUCCCACUGUGAAAGGCACCAUCUUGGUUCCUGGAAGGGACUGAUCGUGACCACCUCGGUCAGUAGGGCUGUGAACUCUGCUUUCCAAAGAGUUUGAAAGAAAUUUGAAUUCUUUCUAAUCAGAGGGAGUUGGGACCAUGGGAUGGUGCUGAAGCUGGGUGACAAGGGACAAGAGUGCUAGUUCCUUGGGUCUGUCUGAGACCUCAGGCAUCUGAAGGCAUUAUAGCACCUCAUCUCCUUCUAGAACCAUUCCCACCUCCUGUCUGGAUGGGGAGGUGUGGAAUCCAGGAGAGGAGGGAGCGGACUUGGAGCUGAAAUGUGAGGUGAAGAAAGAGAGGUGGGGAUGGGAGGAAGGAAAGGAGGGCGAGAGAGGGAGAGAAGCGAAGGAAAAAGAUUUAUUUUAACAAUAGAUUUUUUCCUCUGGGAAUUUUCAAAGGAAAAAAAAAAUCCCAAACCCAAAUAUUUUUUUCUGUUUGUCUUUUUUUUCCUAACAAGAAUUGGUGAGCUAGUGCAGAGCGAGCUGAAGAGGGGCACCCAUCAAUCCACUUUUGUAUCAGUAAGGAGACGUUUAAUAGAGUAACCGUCUAGGCACGUGGGAGUCAGGAGACAGGAGCCAGCCCAGACCCCUCAUUCUCUGCAUGUGUAAACCUCCCCAAAGCCCUUUGGCAGGUGUGGACCAUUACGAAGGACUGCCUCUUCCGUCUGCUGUUUCUUCCCCAGGGCGGGGGAACUCUCCUCAGGGAGCCCUCCGGGCCUCUCUCUGCCCAUAGUCCCAAAUCCCUGGGGGAGGAAGGAGUCUUCCCUUCACCCCUAAUUCACCCUGCUCUGUGCCUGGAGGCCACCAGAGGGAUUACCUUAAUGAGAUCCCUUAUCCUCUGG
ensembl:lncRNA